AAAAUUUGUUUUUACUGGAUUAUUUUUGUUAAGUAGUAGUGUUCUUUUGCAUGUCAAGUUUAAGUUAUACACUUCCUCUUUUUCCUCAAAAUGAAUUUCUGGUGGAUCUUAUUUUUCCUUAACUUUGAGCAUUUCCAAAUUCAGUUUUUCCUCUACAUACUUUUCUACAGAUUUCACGUAUGUCCUCCAAGUUCCCUUUACCCUGUAUAAUGCUGAAUCUUUUUUCUUCAAAUAACCAAUCCUUUGCAAUGUUCUAACAGCCAUUAAGACCAAAUCUUGUUAAAAGAAGAUGGUGGUGUUAAAUCAACACCACACAAGUUAAUGCAUAUCCAGCACCAUCUUUCUUUGCGCUCUGGCAAAUGUUUUUAAGCAAGAUUAAAUAUUCACCUGUUCCACUUAUACAAUGGCAACCUUCAAAUCUUUAAAACCUAAUUCCUCUCAAACAGCUCUUUGUGAUUUCCAAUAGCAAAAAAAAGUAGCAUUACUGUUCUCUUAAUGGUGCUUCUAGCCCUAGACUCUCAAACUUUUUUAACAAUUAGUUGCCAAAUUCUACUAACAUCUGUACCUCCCUUUUCCUCAGGAAACUAUUAAGUCUGUCUCUAAAAGCUCAUCUUGUCCACAUCCACCUACAAAGUCAUCACCAAAUUGACUUCAUCGCUCUACUCAAAAUGCUGCAGUGGCUCUGAAAUUACUAUCAACUAAAAUCCAAAUUCCCUGUCCCAGCAUUCAAGUAUCCAAUGAGCAGCGUCCCUCCAGCGGACACACACACUGCCAACUUCCUUCCAAAUCCACCAGCUUCUCUGCUUCCCAAAAUCCCCCAGGGUCCAAGUCUUACAGACCCGUUUCCUCUGAGCGCUGACUCUUCCUUCAGCACACCUACAGACAUGUUUUCACCCCGGAAAUUUAUUUUUCCGUACAAAUGAAGGAAUGAUUUGGGAUUUAGAAAUACUCGUACAGAAAUGGAGUUUAACCUGCCGCAAAGGAAAAAAGGGGGAAGUGUGAUGUGAUAGGACAAGCAAAUAAUGUAGUGAGGCUCCAACCUCACAGUUCGAAUGUGUUCCAGCAAGUUGAUACUCCUCUUUGAUUAAAUUACACCCCCAAGAAGUACUGAUGACCAAAGAUUUCAGGACUAUAAAUUAGGAGGAAGAAAGGGAGAACAUUUAUAAUUCUCCAGGUACCUUAAAUAACUCUGAAACAUAAUCUAAAGCAAGAUGUGGAAAACACCUCGACACCCUAGAGGCCCACCUUCCUCCCAGCAAGUUUUUGUGAAAACCCUUACUGGGGAGACUUUCACUCCUGAGGCUGAGCCCGCAGAUGUAACAGAACAUGCCCCAGGAGGAGGAGUGCCUCCUCAUCAGCAAAGACUGACUGCUAUGGGCCAGCAAGUGGAAGAUGGACAUACUUUGAGGACAACAUUCAAAAGGAGUUCACUCUUCGUUUCGUCUUGCGUGGUGCUAAGAGUCUUUCACCACUCCCAGGAAGAUCAAACCCUAGAGGAAGGAAGUUGAGCUGGCUGUCCUGAAAUGUUAGAAGGUGGACUAAACGGUAAAACCUGUCGCCUUAGUCAGGAGUGCCCCUCAGAUGGAUGUGGUGCUGGAGUGUUUACGGCAGACAUUAUUGUGGCAAAGGCUGGCUGACCUAUUGUGACAAAUCAGAAGAAAACUGUGUAUAAAAGGCAUGCACUAAAAAAAAAAAAAAAAAUUUUUUUUUAGAUUUGCAUUUCUGACUACUUAUCAAAGAGGGCAUCUUUCAAUUUACUCUACCCGUCAGCUGGUUCCUCCUUUGUGUACUGCCAGUGAGUCUUUUGCUCAUUUCUCUUGGAGUUGCUUUUUCUAUCCUUACUGAAUUGUAGGCAUUUGAAAAAAUAUUUGGAUUACAAAAUCUGUGUCACUUUU